rnacentral:lncRNA from 1 species
CCUCUUUCUCCAGCUUCUCAGGGCCAGCUCUCCUGCCUGCUAAGACUCCGAAUUGCUAGGGUUUUCUUGCUAGACUUUUCUGAUGAGGAAACUGGAGCUCAGAGAGGGGAAAUGCCUCACCUGAGAACAGCCCUGUGGAGGAGUCACUGUGACCCCCGUCAGUGCCUGGACAAGAUAACUGAAGCUCAGAGUAAAACUUCAGUCGCAGGGGGAAGAGCGGCAGAGGUGGAGGGGCAGGAGCUACACGUGGACCACCGGGAGUGAGGCACAUCUGGGGGCUCGGGGGAGGCCGGGGCUGAGGCCCACGCUCCCUUGCUGGAAGGGAAGCUGGGCAAGCUGGGAGACCAGGCCCCUGCAGCUCCUGUCCCUGUCCACUGCUUCAGCCCGCCCGCACCCGGGCCCAUCUCUCCAGCCUUUGGCCGUCUCCCGGUCCUUGGCUGGUGAGGGGUAAGAAGAGGCCACUUGGCUCUGUAGAAUGGGGCCAGGCCCUCAGGUUGGAGCUGGACGUGCUGCCAGGCUCCUCCUCGGGCCUCUGGAGCCCCCUGCGAGCUCACAGAGACAGAAUGUGUUGAGUUCCCAAGUGGUUUCGUAUAAAGGCUAUGUGUUAACGGGAUCGAGGUGUUCUUCCAAGACCCAGAAUCCCCUGGGGUGCCACGUGGCAUGGAGGGAGGGAAGGUUCUGGGCGUCUCACCCCCUCUUUGGCUGGAGCAGCCUCCUUUUUCUGUCUCAUACGUCAUGAUGGUUUGUUUGAACAAGAGUUGCAUUGCUAAAAAACAUCACAAACAGCCAUGGCCUUCACCUUGCCCAGCUCUUUCUCUAGAAUCCAGAGGGAGACUGAGGCCACUCCAAACCACCCCCCACCUCCCCCAGCACUACCCCCUGUUUAUCCCAUGCCAUCUGUUUGGCCUGACUACCGCAGCAGAACAUGAGACGGUGUGGCCUCGCCCAUCGGCUAUGGAAGCCACUGACAUGCUUGUCUCGCGGCGGGGCCAUCCAGUCUUGUGAUGUGGCUGGAUGGGGGCCCAGAAGGUUUCUUCCACUAUAGAUGGGGCCCUCCCUUCCCGGAGGAAUCUUAGCAAAGACAUUGAGGUGGGACGUCAGGGAAUGACUCACUAGGCUGGCAGGUAGGGGUCAGCCUCCAGCUGUGGCCAGAGUGAUGGGGACAGCCAGCCUCUGCUACUCUAAGUCCCAGCCCCUCUCUCCGACCCUCCACUCUGCUUUGAGACGGUGAAACGGAAGGAACUUGUGCUUGUUUAUUUGUUUGAAGAGCAAAUGCUUUUUUUUUUUGAGAUCGUAUUAUGAUGGUAUAUGGAGGUAGGGAUUAUGCAAGGUUCUCUGGGGAAUUCAAGG